UGGAGCAGCUGUAAUUGUUACUGGUUUUUAUUCUGUGAUGUGGGGAAAAGCCAAAGAAGGGAACUCAGGUGUGGAAACUGGAGUAAGAAGCUUAGAAUCAAGCAGCCAAAAGGACCCCCUCUUGCAAAAAAACUUUGAAGAAACAUAAAAGUUUUGCAAAAGAGAAAAAGGCCUACAGAAAAAAAUGGGUAAUUUUCACCAUCUUUAUCUGGAAAAUAGAAAGAGGAAAAUGUUUAGAAACAUUUAUCUGGAAAGCUACCUCUGUGCAGAAAUUAAGGUUUGAGCUUAAAAUGGACUUGGUUUUGCUUAUCUUGAGGUCCAGCCCCACUGCCAAUUUAGUUGUGAUGGACCAGCUCUAGAUAACUUUCAUCAUUCAUCCUUUAAAAUGUUCUACCUUUAUAUAGACAGUCCUACAGCAUUUAAUCCAUGACCUAUGAUACCACUUCAACCGUAUACAUAUUUCUUUUUAUUAGAAAUUAUGGGUCAACAUGCAGAAUGUGAAGAUAAUUUCUGUUAAUUUUUGGCGCCUCUGUUCAUGAGGAGACAAUUAAUGCCUGUCUAUCCUUUCAAGUUAUUGAAGGAAUGAAUUAUAAUCUUCUCUACUCAAAACAUUUUUUUCUUUUUCUUUUUCUUUUUUGGUUUAAUUUGGUUGUCAACGCAUUGAAAAGCUUUUGUGUAAUGCUUCAUGUGAGUUUGUCGUACAGAAGAUCAUGUUCGAUUUAUUUUAUUUAAGACAUUUUCAAGUUCAACUUCCGAUUAUUAUUGUUGUUGUUAUUGGUAAACCUGAAGGUGGGCAAGAAGACUAUCAGGAGUAUGUAAAUGCGAGUGACAUGAAGACUUUGUUUUCAAUUGUAAUAUUGAGUCAGGAACAUGGGCGGCACCAUCAAGUUUGUGACGCUGCAAAGAAAAGUUGAGCUUUGGAGUUGGUCAAAACUCAAUCCAUCCUGUCUGUAUGGAAAAGAUUGUUGUGAUAGAUUAAGGAAAGUACAGCGCUAACUCCUAUGACUCCAAUUACUCUCUCAAGUGUAAUUAAGAAAAUGAAAGAUUGUUUAUGUAUUCAUAUCUCACUAUUCCAGACAAUUUAUGCGAGUUUGACUUGCAGGCACUUGCGAAUGGAUAUGCUUUAUGAAGAAAAAUCAAAUGCAUUUCUUAUGAGUGAGUUUUAGUCUCUGAAAAGAUGAUAUUUAACCACUGAGCCUCUGAUUCAGAACCUAAAAAAAUUUGUUAGUCGGUACCGAUGUCAAAGGAGAAUGCUUUAGCUGGCACACUCUAUACACCAUGGAGAUCCAAUCCUUUUCAUAUUCUUAUUGUGAGGGUCAAAGCCUUUGCUAAGAUAUCACAGCAACUCCUGAUGUCUGAUGUCAAGUGAAAGCGCAAAUUCUUCUGUAGAGUCGAUGGAAAAAAACAUUAAAGAUAAAAAUGAAAGCCUCUUGCAAGCAGUCCUUUUUGAGAAUUCCAAAAGCAUUUUCUGAUGCUAGUGUGUGCCGGUUGCCUGUGAUGUUAACUCUUUUGAGAUAAACAAGUGCCAUGUGUCGGCUGCAGUUUCCUUCUUGAGUCAUGCUCGUCUGUGUCCCUGGCAUGGAACGUGAUCUACGAAGUUCAUUCACCUUUGAUGCAUUGAGCCAGACAGAACCAGACAUCACUAAAUGCCACUAACCGAAAGGAGAAAUUAAACAGCGAAGCUAAUUAAUGCUCAUGAUCUAAGCUUAAUUAUAAUGAAUGGUUAAGAUUUAUCAAAAGUUUAGGAUCGAUCAUCAAUUAAUUAAUUAAUUGACUCUUUUGCCACUGAACUUGUAACUAGUGAUAUAAUCAUAUAAAAAUAUGAGUUCGAGUUUUAGAAGGCUCACUCUUAACCUUUGACUAAAAGGAGAGAUCUAUCUAAAUAUUAGUGAGAGAGAAUUUUUAAAUUAACGUAUAAUAAAUUUUUGAACUGUACUGAAAAAUGUGUGUAUAUAGAGAGAAAGGGGACUGUAAUAGAAUCCGGUUUACAAUAUACGUGUAAAUUGUAAUAAUUUGAAAAACAAAAAAAAAAAGUUAAUUGAAUCUUUUCUUGGACAUUAAUUAAUGCAACAAAUUCUGGGUCCAGCACAGAGGGCUGUGUGUGAUUCCAUCUAUGCACACUUCACUGUGUCCGGCAUCAAGUAUCAAAAAGAAAAGAAGGCUUGCGUAUCAGCACUAAUACAAAACAAAAGUUGAGGGGGGGCCAAGACCUUUCAAAUUAAUCGAUGAGGGUAGGGACAUUGUUAAUGUCCACCACAAAUCGUCCCUCAAGAAAGUACAAAACAUGCAUAUACUGGCCCCGCACUUAAUUUAAUUAGUCUUGAACAUGACCAAAUAUAGUAAAAAUAUUCAUGAUUAAGGGCAAGGACAAAUCAGAUGAAAACAUUCACGUCACAUUAUUAUUAAUCUCUAAUUAAUUGCUUAAGUUUUAAUAUUUUUUUACCAAAACACGACCAAUUUCGUUCCAAACAUGAAGCCACGUCGGCUUAUUCUCCCUUUGCAUAAAGAUUGAGUCACUAAAUCGAGUAGCUAUUUCUCGUACAAAGACAAAGUAGCUUCACAACUUUCUGAAAGGCUAUCUCUCUCUGUCAUUCUCCAAUUCUCAUUGUGGAAGCUCUUAGUUGGUGCAUUAUUGUUUGACUGUAAAUUAUAUCAGCAGUCAGCUAGUCAUCAGCAGGCUCCUAGCUAGAUCAACCCCUUCACUCAUAAAUAUAUACGAGAGAGCUAGCUUGUUGUACAUGCUUCAUUAGACAAAUUAAUUAAAGAGUGAAAGAUAACAGAUAUACAUACGAUCGAAUUAUAUAUGAUGGGACUAGUGAGAGGACAAAUGGAGGAGGAGAUGGUGCCAUUUACAUUGAUGGUGAUAAUGGAGGGUUGUACAAUAGGGCUUACUAUAGUGACCAAAACGGCCAUGAAUGGAGGAAUGAGCCCUUUUGUUUUUAUUGCCUACACAAAUGCUCUUGGAUCCAUUCUUCUUCUUCCUUAUUCCUUCUUCUUUCAUCACCGCGGGUCUGAGGCUGUGGCUGGGGGGAGGUUGUUACACAAUAAUCACCCCUCUUUCUCCUUUUUAAUUCUUCAUGUUCCAUGUACAACAUAACAAUGAAUUUAAUUUAAUAAUAUUCAUUAUAUUAAUAUAAAUAUCGUCGAUCGUCUGCCAUUAAUCUUUUUAAAUUAAUUUUGCUUGCUGCAGAAUAGAGCAGCCACUCUUCACCUUACCUCUUAUGCUGCGCUUCUUCUUCUUGGGCCUAACCGGGUCUGUAUAUUUCGUGGCCUCCCUUAAUUUUUUUUCGUUUUAAUUCUUUAACACUGCUACUGAUGGAUAUAUUUUUCGUACAAAUUAAUUACUUUCUGCCUUAAUAUAUGUUUUUGCUGCAGGGUAGCUAUUUCUCAGAACCUUGCAUUCUUCGGCUUGUAUUAUAGUUCGCCUAUCGUUGUGUGCGUGAUGGGCCUUUUGAUCCCUGCUAUCUCCUUCUUGCUUUCGAUCAUCACUAGGUUUUUCUCUUCAGCUUCAUUUACAUACAUACAUGCAUUUCCUCUGAAUUAAUUAUUCUUUUUCUCUUUUUUUUUUUCUCAAAUCAUCAUGAGCACGGGAUGAUAUCAACCAAUUUGAGAUCUUGAUAACAUUUCUUUGUUUUGAUGAAUUUUUUACAUGAAUACACUAACUACGUACCAUCUAUGCAUGAUCCAAAUCUAUUUCUCUGUUGCACUAUAUUUAUUUUAACAUCACUUACUUGUAUUAUUUUGCUCGUAUAUAUUAAAAUCCAGAUCCGAAAAAAAUUCUCGUUGAACAUAUAAAAUAUCGGCACCAUGGGCCAUUUCUAAUGGCGUUUUAGACCACCCAUUGGAACAAUUUAAUAUUAUAUAUACUAUAUAGUUCUCCUGUUUUGGGCUUAGCUUUAAUUAUAGAUGUCAACUUGGCUAUGUGUGGACUCAAAAGAGUCGAGUCCGAAGCGACCAUCAUAAAUAUAUUUCGACUACCAUAUGAUAUUUGGACAUGUAGACUUGUAGAGUAUGGUUGCAACUCCAAUAAUAACAAUAAUGAUAAUAACGUAAAUCCCAGGACAACAAAACUAGAUUGGAGAAGCUCAAGCAUCCGAGUCAAAGUAAUUGGCACCUUGAUAUCGAUCAUGGGGGCUAUAUAUGUACAGGUGUACAGAGGCCCAUUCAUAAGAAAAGCUGCUUCUGAUGAUAAACUUGAAGCAAAAAUUAAUCCACCACUCCUCAUUUUCUACUCAACACCAGACCGUUGGGUCCUUGGUUCCACUUUGCUUGCGGCUUCUUCUUUAUCUGUCUGCGUAUGGAACAUUAUUCAGGUAAAAUUAUUAAUUAAUAUUAUAUUUCACUGAUCUUAUGAUCAAUUCAUUCUCGUUAAAAUCGACCACAGAGAGAAAAGCGCACUGAAUUUAAUUGUGUAAUUCACAUUAAUUUGGUCAGGUGGGAACUAUCAAACAGUAUCCCCAAGUGAUGAAAGUGGUCUCUUUUUAUAGCUUGGCUGGGACUAUUCAGUGUUCAAUUUUCUCGCUGAUUAUGGAGAGAAACAUCAAUGCUUGGAAAUUAAAGCUAAACAUGGAGCUUCUCCUCAUUAUUAUAACAGUAAGUUAUUCAAAUAUAAUUACCAAAAUUAAGCCAAUCACUCCAAAGAUAUUAGUGUGAGCACCCUCUUUUUUUUUUUUUUUAAAUAUGAACAUGUUAUUAAGUCAUGUGGUUUAAUAGCAUUAAAAUCUAAAUCUAUUAAACUAUACAGUUUAAAAUGUGUCCGAAUAAAAAAAAAAAAAAAAAGGACGCCUAUAUUAGAAAAAGGCUAUAUAUAGAUAAUAUGAACUUAAUUAAUUCCCUUAUUUUUAAAGACACAUAUGGUUUGUUAAUCGUUACAGGCAAUUUUUGGGAGUGCCAUUCGUAGCACCGUCCAUGUCUCGUGUGCCAAAAUGAAAGGCCAUCUUUACGUGCCCAUGUUCAAACCAUUUGGAAUUGUUUUCGCCACCGCUUUUGGUUUAACCUUCUUUACAAAUUCUCUCCAUUAUGGAAGGUAAUACUUAUAUAACAUAUCGUUUAUAAUUUAUCAAGCAGGUGACAUGUCAGAAAAUGUUAUAUAUGGAACACGAGUAUACAUAUAUUUUCAGCACAUAUAUAACAUGUUGUAUUAUUUACUGAAUGAAUUAUUUAAAUAAAAUAAAAUUAAGUUUAAUUCUUUCAUAAUUUAAAAAAAUUACUAAAGAUAGCCAUAUACAUAAUGGUUAUUCUUAAUCUUGUUGGGUGUCAAACAAAUUAAUCCCUCCAAUUAAUAGAUGAAGUGAAAUGCAUGCAUGUACAGUGUGAUAGGAGCAGUUAUAACCGGAAUGGGGUACUAUACUGUAACGUGGGGAAAUAUCAGAGAGGAUGAAUUACUGCGUAAAGGCCAUAAUUCUAAAGAUGCUGCUGACGAUCAAAAGGUCCCUCUCUUGCAAGAAGAUUCGCAAGUCUGAAGAAGCUCUCUGCAAUUUGAACAUGCUCAAAGCAAAAACUUUAUUCAAGCUGCUUUUUCGAGUAAGUAUAAAAUUCGAUCUGCCACACACACAUAUAUAUAUUAAAAUUUUGACGUGCACCAGAAUUUAUUAACUAAUCUAAUACGUUCCUUAACUAUUAUUAAUUAUCUUGUUUUUAUUUUUACUUUCUAGUUGGCUUGAGUUGAGGGAGAUUCAUCAAGCCCUGUUGUAUGAUACGGAAGAAACGUGCGUGCCACCUGUGUAUCGACCAAAAAAUUUUAGAGUUUAGGAAGAUUGGUGUGUUCAAUUGUAGAUAUUUGGUUGAGAGAAAUGAAAGAAUAACAGUGAAGGAUUUUGCAGCAGGUUUUUUUGGUGUGUGCAAGGUCCUCUUGAUGUACAUAUAUUAGUCUUUGUGAAUUGUGAUUGAAUGAAAUUUUUCUCUUUUUUUUUUUUUUCCUCUCUCUCUCUCUGCGUAGCUGUUACUUGCUACAUACAACUACUCUGCCAAACACCUUAGAAUUGUAACUGAGGAUGAAUUAGAAAAUUUGAACUCAAAUUUUCAUUUUGAUAUGUGAUUUGUCUCUCAUUACGUAGAAGAUAAAUUUUUAUAAGUUUUAAGUGAAGUAUCACACUAUCUCACUAUUUAUAAAAUCAACGACACAUUAUAUAUAUAUAUAUAUAUAUAUAUAUAAAGAUAAAGCUGGGACUACAAGAGGUGAUGUGACAUCACCAUUUCUCAUAUUUGUAUAUUCUCUAUUAUCUUAUAAAUAGAGAAAUUUUCUUUCAAAUUUAGCUUUUCAUCUUCUCAUAAUUAAUUUGACUGUUAUUACACAAUCAUUAUGUAACAGUUUAUCAAAAGACUCACUAUUUUCUCUAAUUGAAACCUUCUUGAUCAUAAAUUAAGCAAUAAUUUAUAAACAUUUUUAAUCACUCUUCUCCUCUGCCUCACCUUAAUUUAUAAAUAGCAACAAAAAAUAUGAUAUCCCACAUAAACACAACAUAAAAUAACAGAAAAUAGCAAUGGCUCUAAAACAUGUGUUUUUCAUUUUGGCCCUCACUUGCCUGAUCAUGGCAAAUAUUGCAAAUGCAACCAGCAUGAGUGAUCGCCUCAACAAUAAUAUGAAACCAUGCUACGAUCAUGCAACAAGACUUGAAGCUAGCGGAGGCCUAACGGAGUGUUGGAACACGUUAAUGGAGUUGAAAUCAAACUCAAAUCAUAUCGUUAUAUUCUUCUUUAAGAGCUAGACUGAUAUUGGCCCUGACUGUUGCCGCACUAUUGAUAUCAUCACCCGUAAUUGCUGGCCUGCAAUGCUCACCUCUCUCGGAUUCACUGCUGAAGAAGGAAAUAUACUGAGAGGCUACUGUGAUGCAUUUUCUGCUCCUUCUCCAGGUGGCCUUGCGGUGAUAUAUCAACCUCAAAUUUCCAAGGUUUUGACUUAGACAAGGUGCAUUUAUGGCACUUCUAUUUCCGUCGUGUUAAUUUAGCUGAUGCAAUUUUAAGUAAUUAAAAAAAAUCUUUUUUGUUUUAGCUUUACUUUAUUUUUUUCAAGUUUUUUUUGGAAGUCUUGCCUCUUAAUCGAAUAAAAUAAAUCAUUAAAAGUAUAAUAAGGAAAAAAGAAAAUAAUAAAUUAUUUUUUCAAAGAUGCGUGAAGUGCGAUUCUAUUUCCUAGUUUUAAGAUAAAAUUUAAGAUAUUUAAUAUUAUUUAUUUAUAAUUUUCAACUAUUUAUAUUGAUACCAAUAUUAUAAAUCUAUAAAACCCUCCUCCACUCUUAGUCUCCAACAACCAUGUUAUGUGUAUAUAUAUAUUUGGUUGUUUCUUUCGUUGUUGAAAGUUUUCAUAUAAAUCUAUAAAAUGUGAAAGGUCUUGAGUGAUACUGAUAUCAUGCCACCACGUCGUCACCUUACCAUCCAAUUGGAUGACAACACAUAUACACUUAUCACUAAAUUUAAAAUAACCAACAUUACGUAUAAUUAUGUGGUGGUAUGUAAUUAGAUGAUGAGGUGAUGAUGUGGUGGAGUUCCUACCAUCUAAGACUUUCUCAACUUCUAUUGAGGCCACAACACUCACAAAAUUUUGGUCAAAUACUAUGUUUUUAAGUCCCUCAAAUUUGUACGAAUGAGCCUUUGAUCCAAUGGGAGAAGUCUUGCACUUAUAAUAUUGAGUGUAAGGAUUCGAGCCUCCAUCAGAGCAUUAUGAAAGUUAGUUUCAGUACUCCCUCAAUUAUCAACUAAUUGAGUAGAGAUAAUUUCUCACUUACGAAAUGUGAGUGGAGCAUUAUGUUAUUUGGUACAAUUGUAAAUAUUGUAAUUGUAAUGUCUGAUGUAAUAUCAGUAACAAUCUCUAUAUAACAGAAUAAAAAAAAAAGUCCUUCAAAUUUGUAAAAUAAUUUCUCAUUUACUUAUUUCAAUAAUUUCUUUAUUAUUUAGAUGAGUGAAGUCGCAUAAGACCCCUCAUCAUAAUUUAUUAUUUAUUUAUUAAAAAAAAUCUAAGAAAGUUAGGUUAGAGGGGGUCAACGGUUUGCUAUUGCCACAAGCCGGUGGGUUAAAUUUAUAGCCAGCACAAAUGCAGAAGGUAGCUGAUACACCCUUGCAACCGAAGGCUGUAGCAGUUGGGUCACACUCUUUGAGCGAGUGCCAGCUCCCAAAAUUUAAAAAGAAAUAGCAAGUCUGGAGAGAGAAGUUGAGAAUAGAAGAAGAGUCGAUAAGAAGAAGAAUUGAUUCAUUUCAGAUGCCCUUUACAAAAGUUGGUUAUGCUCUACAUAUACACCUCUAUCUUUACAGCUCAGCACACUUGUGGCAAAAAUGACAGCAAAGAAAUAACCCAGUGAAUAUAGAGUUUUAAAACAAAAAUCAAUUACACUACACGACAUAAUCAUUUAACCACCCAGGGGGCUUCCUUAUACGUGUGCUUUUCUGUGAUUCAUUAUGCUCUGCUCCCUCCUCAACAUGUGACAUGGUUUCUUCCUUGUUCUGCUCAUAAUCGGACUCAUCAUUGGGCUGCUCUUCCUGCAAAUAUUCUGGUUGGUUCAACUGAAUUUGGAAGGAUGUAUCAGUAGCCCAAGGAUUUAAUGUGAUGUCUAAUGUUGUAAAUGAUUCUGUGUAAAAUUAAACUACUGCACGAUGUCUGUAAUAAAAUGAUUGUGUGUAAAAUUAAAGUGCUGCCAUAAUUUCUAUGCCUUUGACGAAUUUUCGCAUCUCACCACACUGUCUUUUGGGGAAAUAGAAAAGCUCGGUAAUUGAAGUGAUAUGUAUUGGAAAAAAAACAAAAGAAAAAAAAUUAUGUUAAUUUCCCACUUCCAGAGGCAAUUCCUCAGAUACCAUAAUAAUUCUAUAAAGAGAAAUCAUGUAAAUAACAGAUUAGUCGAUAGCUUGUAAUUUUCGCGUGGUAAAAAUUAAUACAAACCUUUAUGAUAAAUGUAAAUAAUAAGGUUAUGGUUAUGUUGGAGUUGAUCUAUGAUGGAGUACGAAUCUCAACCACACACGCAAAGUGAUAAAUAAUAAAAAAAUCAUUGUAACUUUAAUCGUAUGUGUUUGAGGGAAAAAUAGGAAAGGCAGUAAAGCGCCACGUGUCGACCAAUGGAACGAUUCCAGCGUCAUUUGAGAUACUCCACACAAAUAGAGGUACCCCAUGUAAAUAGAGGUACCCCAUAUAAAUAGAGGUACCCCGUACAAUUAGAGGUACCUCACGUAACUCGAGGUACCUCCGAAAAUAUCCGCCAUAAGAAACGUCUCCGCCUCCUAAAAGAUAUUAUUUGAUUUUGUCAGAAUUAAGAAUCAAGAACGUCGUAUCAAAAGGGGGGGACAGCCGCCUGCUACCUCUGCCAAAAGUGAAGGACAUUGUCCCAAGGACAAUGGUCCCUAGCCGCCUACCCGACAGCUACUGCAGAGGUACCCCGGACCACUCUCCAACGCGCGCCACGUUUCCAAAAGAUGAGAUACGCCGCGAACAUGCACAUAACGGCCCCAAGAAUCAUAAAAGCGGUAAAAGGACGUUAGCCAAAAAGGGUACGUCACGUGGCAGCUAAGGUACUCCAUAUAUAAAGGCACCUAGGUUUCAUUCUCCAUCAUGCUCUCAUUCGCCCAAAAACACUCACACUAAAAAAAAAAGAGGUUUUCUUCAACCUUAAACCCUAAUUUACAGAGGGCUAGCUAGCUCUCUUUGCCAUAAAAGCUUGAGUUUGCUAACUUGAAUGUCGGAGUGUGAACGCCGAGGUACCCCGGCUUCACCUCUAACCUCUAUUUCACUGUUUUGCAGGCGUGAAGCUCAUUUUGAAGGACACCUCUCUUGUUUCUAACCUUCCACCAUUGUUACUACUCUCUCUCCCCUUCUCACCUCCCACGAAUCUCAGAUAUACCGCCCAACACACAAUAAACCAGUGAGGUACCCCAUCUCCCCAAAAAAUAUAAAUUCAUUGUUCAAGAUAGAUUUUGACUUUUCCUACCCUAAAAUCAGUUGAAAACAGUAUGGUUAUGAAGAAAUAUUAUACCUUAGAGCGAUUUUAAUAUAAUCAGACUCAAAUAAUAAAUGCGUAACAAAUGUAAAUAAUAAUGCAAGCACACAUGUCUUAUGUAAUUAAUAAAUGUAAUAUUAGGAAAUUCUUAGUAACUCUAACAAAUUUAAAAAGCCUAAAAUCAUUCCCCAAAAUCCCUUAAUAACCCAAUCAAAAGAAAUGACACUUCUUAUUUUCUUACUAACAAUGACCAUAACUAUUAAUAAAGAGAAUCCGAAGGGUUACACAGCUAGCCCUGCAACCUACUUAAAAGUCAAUGAUCAAUCCUUGAUUAGUAAUUAUAUUUAUGUAGAAGAAUGAAUAUCAACAUGCAGCUGAUAGGACUGGCAAAGUCAGUGAGUUGGUUGUCAAACUUUUCAAGAUUCAAUAAUUUAGAGCAGGUGAUAAUGCAAGCAUGAUGAUCUUCAUUCUUCUACAUAAAAGAUUUGUUUAUUUUAUAUUUAAUGUAAGAUACAUCCUUCAUAAAUUGAGCUGGACACUAGGACGGUAAAACUAUCGACUGAUUCAAGUAUUGAUGUCUGGAUUAAUACACCCAAAAAAAAAAAAAAAAAGAUUUCUUCUUCCGUUGAAUAUACCUUCCCAUGCAUUAUCUGUUUAGAUGACUACUUGAUUCGCUACAGAAUUUCAAAGUAUCUACCUACAGAAAAGAAUAUUAUGAUGGCUUAGAAUAUCGAGUAAACAUUUGAUACGUGUCAUCAAGAAAGUAAUCUUUCUGCCCCAAAUUCCAGAGCCCGCACUGGCAAUCGGAGCGAGAGAAGAGAUGGGAAAAGUUGGUUUAGCGCCGGUUAUUGGGAUGAUGAUGGCAGAGUGCACUCAAUUUCAAAAUUACUAAUAAAUAAAUAAAUAAAUAAUUUUAAAUUAUAAAAUUAUAAAUAUUAGUAAAAAUAAAAAAUAUUAAAAUAUUUAUAUUAUUAAAUUUUUAGGCCUAAUUAAUUAAUUAAAGUCCUAAAUUUUUAUUUAGGACAUUAAAAAGAUCGAGUAGAUUUUAUUAGUCUAAAUUUUUUUUAAUUUUAAUAUUCUUUAAAUAUUUUAAACUUAAAUUUAUUUUUUAUUUAUUUUUAGAUGUCAUAAUUGCCCACAGUGAAUCACAAUUUUAAUAACUAAUAUAAUCUAAUUUAAUAUUUACUCUUGAUUUGCUCCGAUUUAACUAUUGUAUUGUAAAGGAAAUAGUCCACAUUUAUAAAGUGCCUACACCACCAUUGAAAAAGUUAAUUUUGAAUCUAAAUUCGAUUUUAUUUGUAACAAUUUUGUAUUAGACUAUUAAUUUGUUCAUGAUAGUUUGUAAAAGAACUUUGUAUCUCUUGCAUACUGCGUUACUUACUAAUUUAAUGUAUGUGACUUUUGUAAUGGAUAUUAAUGUAAGAUAUAUUUCGAACUUUAUUUUUAUUUAAAUUUUUUAUUUUAAUAUUAUUAAUUCAAAAUCAAAAACUAAAAAAAUACAUUAGUUAUUCGGGGAUCGGUGACUCUCGGGGAUCCCCUGUUAUUAUUCGGGGAGGGGAUGAAGAUUCUCUCAAGUAAUUCUGACGGGGACGGAGAGGGGACGGGGACAUACGUAAAAUAUCGGGAAUAGAUAUGGGAAGAUUGGUCCUCUCUUCUUCCCUCCCCAUUGACAUCCCUACUAAAUAUUAGUGAGAGAGAAUUUUUAAAUUAACGUAUAAUAUAUUUUUUAACUGUACUGAAAAAUGUGUGUAUAUAGAGAGAAAGGGGACUGUAAUAGAAUCCGGUUUACAAUAUACGUGUAAAUUGUAAUAAUUUGAAAAAAAAAAAAAAGUUAAUUGAAUCUUUUCUUGGACAUUAAUUAAUGCAACAAAUUCUGAGUCCAGCACACAGGGCUGUGUGUGAUUCCAUCUAUGCACACUUCACUGUGUCCGGCAUCAAGUAUCAAAAAGAAAAGAAGGCUUGCGUAUCAGCACUAAUACAAAACAAAAGUUGAGGGGGGGCCAAGACCUUUCAAAAUAAUCGAUGAGGGUAGGGACAUUGUUAAUGUCCACCACAAAUCGUCCCUCAAGAAAGUACAAAACAUGCAUAUACUGGCCCCGCACUUAAUUUAAUCAGUCUUGAACAUGACCAAAUAUAGUAAAAAUAUUCAUGAUUAAGGGCAAGGACAAAUCAGAUGAAAACAUUCACGUCACAUUAUUAUUAAUCUCUAAUUAAUUGCUUAAGUUUUAAUAUAGAUUUUUACCAAAACACGACCAAUUUCGUUCCAAACAUGAAGCCACGUCGGCUUAUUCUCCCUUUGCAUAAAGAUUGAGUCACUAAAUCGAGUAGCUAUUUCUCGUACAAAGACAAAGUAGCUUCACAACUUUGAUGCAUUUUCUGCUCGGUGGUCUUGCAGUAAUAUAUUAACCUCAAAUUUCUAAGGUUUUGACUUAGACAAGGUGUAUUUAUGGCACUUCUAUUUCAGUCGUGUUAAUUUAGCUGAUGCAAUUUUAAAUAAUUAAAAAAAUCUUUUUGGUUUUAGCUUUACUUUAUUUUUUUUGGAAGUCUUGCCUCUUAAUCGAAUACAAUAAAUUAUUAAAAGUAGAAUAAGGAAAAAAAAAGAGAAUAAUAAAUUCUUUUUUCAAAGUUGCGUGAAGUGUGAUUCUAUUUCCUAGUUUUAAGAUAAAAUUUAAGAUAUUUAAUAUUAUUUAUUUAUAAUUUUCAACUAUUUAUAUUGAUACCAAUAUUAUAAAUCUAUAAAACCCUCCUCCACUCUUAGUCUCCAACAACCAUGUUAUGUGUAUAUAUAUAUUUGGUUGUUUCUUUCGUUGUUGAAAGUUUUCAUAUAAAUCUAUAAAAUGUGAAAGUCUUGAGUGAUAUUGAUAUCAUGCCACCUCAUCGUCACCUUACCAUCCAAUUGGAUAACACCACAUAUACACUUAUCACUAAGUUUAAAAUAACCAUAGUACAUUACGUAUAUGCAUGUGGUGGUAUGUAAUUAGAUGAUGAGGUGAUGAUGUGGUGGAGUCCCUACCAUCUAAGACUUUCUCAACUUCUAUUGAGGCCACAACACUCACAACAUUUUGGUCAAUACUAUGUUUUUAAGUCCCUCAAAUUUGUACGAAUGAGCCUUUGGUCCAAUGGGAGAAGUCUUGCACUUAUAAUAUUGAGUGUAAGGAUUCGAGCCUCCAUCAAAGCAUUAUGAAAGUUAGUUUCAGUACUCCCUCAAUUAUCAACUAAUUGAGUAGAGAUAAUUUCUCACUUACGAAAUGUGAGUGGAGCAUUAUGUUAUUUGGUACAAUUGUAAAUAUUGUAAUUGCAAUGUCUGAUAUAAUAUCAGUAACAAUCGCUAUAUAACAAAAUUUUAAAAAAAGUCCUUCAAAUUUGUAAAAUAUUUUCUCAUUUACUUAUUUCAAUAAUUUCUUUAUUAUUUAGAUGAGUGAAGUCGCAUAAGACCCCUCAUCAUAAUUUAUCAUUUAUUUAUUAAAAAAAAUCUAAGAAAGUUAGGUUAGAGGGGGUCAACGGUUUGUCGUUGCCACAAGCCGGUGGGUUAAAUUUAUAGCCAGCACAAAUGCAGAAGGUAGCCCAAGGAUUUAAUGCGAUGUCUAAUGUUGUAAAUGAUUCUGUGUAAAAUUAAACUACUGCACGAUGUCUGUAAUAAAAUGAUUGUGUGUAAAAUUAAAGUGCUGGUUCCAUAAUUUCUAUGCCUUUGACGAAUUUUCGCAUCUCACCACACUGUCUUUUGGGGAAAUAGAAAAGCUCGGUAAUUGAAGUGAUAUGUAUUGGAAAAAAAACAAAAGAAAAAAAAAUUAUGUUAAUUUCCCACUUCCAGAGGCAAUUCCUCGGAUACCAUAAUAAUUCUAUAAAGAGAAAUCAUGUAAUAACAGAUUAGUCGAUAGCUUGUAAUUUUCGCGUGGUAAAAAUUAAUACAAACCUUUAUGAUAAAUGUAAAUAAUAAGGUUAUGGCUAUGUUGGAGCCGAUUUAUGAUGGAGUACGAAUCUCAACCACACACGCAAAGUGAUAAAUAAUAAAAAAAUCAUUAUAACUUUAAUCGUAUGGUUAUGAAGAAAUAUUAUACCUUAGAGCGAUUUCAAUAUAAUCGGACUCAAAUAAUAAAUGCGUAACAAAUGUAAAUAAUAAUGCAAGCACGCAUGUCUUAUGUAAUUAAUAAAUGUAAUAUUAGGAAAUUCUUAGUAACUCUAACAAAUUAAAAAAGCCUAAAAUCAUUCCCCAAAAUCCCUUAAUAACCCAAUCAAAGGAAAUGACACUUCUUAUUUUCUUACUAACAAUGACCAUAACUAUUAAUAAAGAGAAUCCGAAGGGUUACACAGCUAGCCUUGCAACCUACUUAAAAGUCAAUGAUCAAUCCUUGAUUAGUAAUUAUAUUUAUGUAGAAGAAUGAAUAUCAACAUGCAGCUGAUAGGACUGGCAAAGUCAGUGAGUUGGUUGUCAAACUUUUCAAGAUUCAAUAAUUAGAGCAGGUGAUAAUGCAAGCAUGAUGAUCUUCAUUCUUCUACAUAAAAGAUUUAUCUAUCUUACAUUUAAUGUAAGAUACAUCUCCUCACAAAUUGAUCGGUGACACUAGGACGGCAAAACUAUCAACUAAUUAAAGUAUUGAUGUCUGGAUUAAUACACCGAAAAAAAAUAAUAAUUUGAUUUCUUCUUCCGUUGAAUAUACCUUCCCAUGCAUUAUCUGUUUAGAUGACUACUUGAUACGCUACAAAAUUUCAAAGUAUCUACCUACAGAAAAGAAUAUUAUGAUGGCUUAGAAAAUCGAGUAAACAUUUGAUACGUGUCAUCAAGAAAGUAAUCUUUCUGCCCCAAAUUCCAGAGCCCGUACUGGCAAUCGGAGCGAGAGAAGAGAUGGGAAAAGUUGGUUUAGCGCCAGUUAUUGGUAUGAUGAUGGCAGAGUGCGCUCAUGUUGGGCUGAUGUUCGCCGGCAAAGCAGCCAUGUCUGAUGGGAUGAGCAACCUGGUCUUCGUUUUUUACUCCAAAGCAUUCGCCUCUCUCGUUCUCCUCCCCGCUUCACUUCUCUUCCACAGGUUACUUAUCCUUCGUUAGUCUCAAAGAUCAAAGCUUCUCAUGUUUUAAUCAAUUCAUCAUCUCUAUGCAGAUCACAAAUUCCUCCACUCACUUGGCCUAUUCUAUCUGCUUUCUUCCUACUUGGCUUUCUUGGGUAUGCUAAGUUUUACUUCUUUGACCAUGUGGUUGGUUUCUUUUUGUUUGAUUAUAAUAAAUUUUCCUGCUUUUACUCAUUCACAUGCAGCAUAUACUGUGUCACAGCGUUAUUAAUAAUCAAAGAUGUUGUUUGUUAAAGGGUUUGUUGUUUUAUUUUACUUCAAGCAGUACUUCGUCUCAGUUUUUUGGUUACGCUGGGAUUUACUAUAGCUCACCGACACUUUCCACGGCUUUGCUUAAUCUUGUUCCGGGUUUUACCUUCAUUCUUGCCAUCAUUUUCAGGUAAUGCUCCCCCUUUGCUAUGAUCAUUUUGACUUUCUUUUGAUUUUGUUCAUUGGAGUCCGUUUGGGAAGUUUAUGUUACUGAUGCUAAUUAAUUGCAACCAAUAAUAUAAUCAGUUCUCUCUCUUCAUUUGUAUGAGUGUCUGAUUCAGUACUUCAAUUGCAUAAUUAAGUUUUGUGAGUCCCAAUUACAGGCUUGCAAUUACAUAUUAGACAUACUGCUGAAAUUUGCUAAGAGUGUAUUCCAGUUACAAAAUAAUGAUUAUCCAGUCUGAUUCGUGGAUUAGAGUAGUAAGCUAUUUGUAAUUAAUCCACCAUGCAGGGACAGAUAGGUCAUAAUGUUACUCCUAAUUUAGUGGAUUCUUUUGUUGCCCAAAAUCACAUCUUUUGGCGUUUUCUCAUUUGAGCUCCUCUGAUAGUCAUAUCAUCUGAAGAGUUCUUCAGCGACUGGAUGGUUGAGCUCCUUUUAGUUUCCUUUCUCUGUCAGACUUUUCUAUCUCAAAAAGUUUUAACUCAUGUUUUAAUUAAUGAAUGUGCUAAGCAUAUGGUAGAAAACUUUGGAAGAGUAACAGACUCCUAAAUUGCUUAGAGUGAUAUUUUUAUUGCUACCGAUGGAUAUAAAAUGAUUCAACUUCGUGAUUUCAGGGUGGAAAAACUAGAUUGGAGAAGCUCCAGUAGCCUAGCCAAAUCAGUGGGAACCAUAGUGUUAAUUACAGGGGCAUUUAUCAUGACAUACUAUAAGGGACCCCACCUUCUGAUGACAUCUUUGCCACCAAACUUGUCCCUUCAAGUUUUCGUGCCGCAAACAAACUGGGUCUUUGGUGGAUUGCUCCUUGCCGUAGAUUGUGUGUUCACUUCAGCAUGGCUUAUUGUACAGGUUAGAUUCUUAAGAAAUAGCAAGAGUGAGAACCAGUUAUAAGAUUGACUUAUUUUUCGUACAUUUCAGGCUUCAAUCCUUAAGAAAUUCUCAGCUGAGUUCAUCGUAGUCUUUUUUUACUGCUUCUUUGUGGCCAUUCAAUCUGCAAUACUCUGUUUGGUUAUGGAAAGAGACCUAAGCAGCUGGAGCUUAAAACCUGGUGUGAGGUUAGUUGCUGUACUAUACUCGGUAAGUAGAAGUAAAAAGAAAAAGAUUGUUUGUGUACAUGCUUAAAUUAUAUUCACUUUUUGUCUUGAAACCUUAAUAUGGAAAAUGCAGGCUGUUUUUGGCUCUGCAUUCCAAGUUGGUGUUUGUACCUGGUGCCUGCACAGAACUGGGCCUGUAUUUGUAGCUAUGUUCAAGCCCUUGGGUGUUGUAAUUUCAGCUGCGGUUGGCACCAUCUUCCUAGGAGAGACAGUCUAUCUUGGGAGGUACCUUUUUUUAAUUUUGGGUGGUGUUUUGACUUGUAUGAAGUAUAAGAAUUUUUGUUUAAUCAUGUUACUGGUCAGAUUUCUCUUAUUUCCUGUUCUGAUUUUCUCCUCCUCUUCUAUUAUAAGAAAGUGAUCAUUCCAUUUUUAAUGUAAUGCAGAUUUAUUGGAGCAGCUGUAAUUGUUACUGGUUUUUAUUCUGUGAUGUGGGGAAAAGCCAAAGAAGGGAACUCAGGUGUGGAAACUGGAGUAAGAAGCUUAGAAUCAAGCAGCCAAAAGGACCCCCUCUUGCAAAACAACUUUGAAGAAACAUAAAAGUUUGGCAAAAGAGAAAAGGGCCUACAGAAAAAAAUUGGUAAUUUUUACCAUCUUUAUCUGGAAAAUAGAAAGAGGAAAAUGUUUAGAAACAUUUAUCUGGAAAGCUACCUCUGUGCAGAAAUUAAGGUUUGAGCUUAAAAUGGACUUGGUUUUGCUUAUCUUGAGGUCCAGCCCCACUGCCAAUUUAGUUGUGAUGGACCAGCUCUAAAUAGCUUUCAUCAUUCAUCCUUUAAAAUGUUCUACCUUUAUACAGAUAGUCCUAGAAGCAUUUAAUCCAUGACCUAUGAUACCACUUCAACCAUAUACGUAUUUCUUUUUGUUAGAAAUUAUGGGUCAACAUGCAGAAUGUAAAGAUAAUUUCUGUUAAUUUUUGGCGCCUCUGUUCAUGAGGAGACAAUUAAUGCCUGUCUAUCCUUUCAAGUUAUUGAAGGAAUGAAUUAUAAUCUUCUCUACUCAACAUUUUUUUCUUUUUCUUUUUCUUUUUUGGUUUAAUUUUGUUGUCAACGCAUUGAAAAGCUUUUGUAUAAUGCUUCAUGUGAAUUUGUCGUACAGAAGAUCAUGUUCGAUUUAUUUUAUUUAAGACAUUUUCAAGUUCAACUUCCGAUUAUUAUUGUUGUUGUUAUUGGUAAACCUCAAGGUGGGCAAGAAGACUAUCAAGAGUAUGUAAAUGCGAGUGACAUGAAGACUUUGUUUUCAAUUGUAAUAUUGAGUCAGGAACAUGGGCGGCACCAUCGAGUAUGUGAGCUGCAAAGAAAAGUUGAGCUUUGGAGUUAGUCAAAACUCAAUCCGUCCUGCUCUGCAUGGAAAAGAUUGUUGUGACAGAUUAAGGAAAGUACAGCGCUAACUCCUAUGACUCCAAUUACUCUCUCAAGUGUAAUUAAGAAAAUGAAAGAUUGUUUAUGUAUUCAUAUCUCAUUGUUCCAGACAAUUUAUGCGAGUUUGACUUGCAGGCACAUGUGAAUGGAUAUGCUUUAUGAAGAAAAAUCAAAUGCAUUUCUUUUGAGUGAGUUUCAGUCUCUGAAAAGAUGAUAUUCAACCACUGAGCCUCUGAUUCAGAACCUAAAAAAAUUUGUUAGUCGGUACCGAUGUCUGAGGAGAAUGCUAUAGCCGGCACAUUCUAUGCAUCAUGGAGAUGCAAUCCUUUUCAUAUUCUUAUUGUGACAGUCAAAGCCUUUGCUAAGAUAUCACAGAGACUUCUGAUAUCUGAUGUCUGAGUGAAAACGCAAAUUCUUCUGAAGAGUCAAUGGAAAAAACAUUAAAGAUAAAAAUGAAAGCCUCCUGCAAGUAGUCCGUUUUGAGAAUUCUAAAAGCAUUUUCUGAUGCUAGUGUGUGCUGGUUGCCUCUGAUGUCAACUCUUUUGAGAUAAACAAGAGCCAUGUGUCAGCUGCAGUUUCCUUCUUGAGUCAUGCUCGUCUCUGUCCCUGGCAUGGAGCACACUUUACAGUGUUCGGUAUCAAGUAUCAAAAAGAAGGCUUGCGUAUUCAGCACUAAUACAAAACGUAAGUUGAGGGGGGGGGGGGGGGGGGGGAGAAGACCUUUCAAAAUAAUCGCUGAGGCUAGGGACAUUGUUAAUGUCCCCAGUAUGAGUCCGAAGCGACCAUCAUAAAUAUAUUUGGACUACCAUUUGAUAUUUGGACAUGUAGAGUAUGGUUGCAACUCCAAUAAUGAUAAUAAUAAUAACGUAAAUCCCAGGACAACAAAACUAGAUUGGAGAAGCUCACGCAUCCUAGUCAAAGUAAUUGGCACCUUAAUAUCGAUCAUGGGGGCAAUAUUUGUGCAGGUCUACAGAGGCCCAUUCAUAAGAAAAGCUGCUUCUGAUGAUAAACUUGAAGCGAAAAUUAAUCCACCACUCUUCAUUUUCUACUCAACACCAGACCGUUGGGUCCUUGGUUGCACUUUGCUUGCCGCUUCUUCUUUAUCUGUCUGCGUAUGGAACAUUAUUCAGGUAAAAUUAUUAAUUAAUAUUAUAUUUCAUUGAUCUUAUGAUCAAUUCACUCUUAAUUAACCUCUGAGAUCAAGUCCUUAUUUUUUUUUUUUUUAAAUAUGAACACGUUAUUAAACCGUACAACUUAAUAAAGUUAUUUUGGAUACACUAUAAAACCAUGUGGUCUAAUAACAUUAAAAUCUAAAUUUGUUAAACUACACUGUUUAAAAUGUAUCCGAAUAAAAAAAUAUGAGGACGCCUACAUUAGAAAAUGAUUACAUAUAUAUAAACCUAAUUAAUUCCCUUGUUUUUAAUCGUUACAGGCAAUUUUUGGGAGUGUCAUUCGUAGCACCGUCCAUGUCUCGUGUGCCGAAAUGAAAGGCCAUCUUUCCGUGCCCAUGUUCAAACCAUUUGGAAUUGUUUUUGCCACAGCUUUCGGUUCAACCUUCUUUACAAAUUCUCUCCAUUAUGGAAGGUAAUACUUAAUAUAGCAUAUCGUUUAUAAUUUAUCAAGCAGAUGACAUGUCAGAAAAUGUUAUGUAUGGAACACGAGUAUACAUAUAUUUUCAGCACAUAUAUAACAUGUUGUAUUAUUUACUGAAUGAAUUAUUUAAAUAAAAUAAAAUUAAGUUUAAUUCUUUCAUAAUUUAAAAAAAUUACUAAAGAUAGCCAUAUACAUAAUGGUUAUUCUUUUUUUUUUUUUGGUUGUAAACUAUCCGGUGUUCUGCGACCACAUUGGGCCUCAACUAAUCCAGAUUCGGGGUGUAGUCACAGUUAAGGCUCUUUACCCCUUCCAAAUGGUGUGUUUAGUGGGAAUCGAACCCGAGAGCUCUUCCCACAAACUCAGCCUGCGCUGUCAACUGAGCCACAACCAUUUGGUACAUAAUGGUUAUUCUUAAUCUUGUUGGGUGUCAAACAAAUUAAUCCCUCCAAUUAAUAGAUGAAGUGAAAUGCAUGCAUGUACAGUGUGAUAGGAGCAGUUAUAACCGGAAUGGGGUACUAUACUGUAACAUGGGGAAAUAUCAGAGAGGAUGAAUUACUGCGUAAAGGCCAUAAUUCUAAAGAUGCUGCUGACGAUCAAAAGGUCCCUCUCUUGCAAGAAGAUUCGCAAGUCUGAAGAAGCUCUCUGCAAUUUAAACAUGCUCAAAGCAAAACUUUAUUCAAGCUGCCUUUUCGAGUAAGUAUAAAAUUCGAUCUGCCACACACACACACACACAUACAUUUUGACGUACACCAGAAUUUAUUUACUAAUCUAAUACGUUCCUUAACUAUUAUGAAUUAUCUUUUUUUUUUUAAACUUUCUAGUUGGCUUGAGUUGAGGGAGAUUCAUCAAGCCCUGUUGUAUGAUACGAAAGAAACAUGCGUGCCACCUGUGUAUCGACCAAAAAAUUUAGAGUUUGGGAAGAUUGGUGUGUUCAAUUGUAGAUAUUUGGGUGAGAGAAAUGAAAGAAUAACAGUGAAGAAUUUUGCAGCAGGUUUUUUUGGUGUGUGCAAAGUCCUCUUGAUGUACAUAUAUUAAUCUUUGUGAAUUGUGAUUGAAUGAAAUUUUUCUCUUGUUUUUUUUUUUCUCUCUCUCUCUCAGCUAGUUGUUACUUGCUACGUACAACCGCUCUGCCAAACACCUUAGAAUUUUAACUGAGGAUGAAUUAGAAAUUUUGAACUCAAAUUUUCAUUUUGAUAUGUGAUUUGUCUCCCAUUUGGUAGAAGAUAAAUUUUUAUAAGUUUUAAGUGAAGUAUCACACUAUCUCACUAUUUAUUAAAUCAACGACACAUUAUUUUAAGAUAAAAUUUAAGAUAUUUAAUAUUAUUUAUUUAUAAUUUUCAACUAUUUAUAUUGAUACCAAUAUUACAAAUCUAUAAAAACCUCCUCCACUCUAAGUCUCCAACAACCAUGUUAUGUGUAUAUAUAUAUUUGGUUGUUUCUUUCAUGGUUGAAAGUUUUCAUAUAAAUCUAUAAAAUGUGAAAGUCUUGAGUGGUACUGAUAUCAUGCCACCACGUCGUCACCUUACCAUCUAAUUGGAUGACAACACAUAUACACUUAUCACUAAAUUUAAAAUAACUAACAUUACGUAUAAGUAUGUGGUGAUAUGUAAUUAGAUGAUGAGGUGAUGAUGUGGUGGAGUCCCUACCAUCUAAAACUUUCUCAACUUCCAUUAAAGCCACAACACUCACAAAAUUUUGGUCAAAUAUUAUAUUUUUAAGUCCCUCAAAAUUUGUAAAAUAAUUUCACAUUUACUUAUUUUAAUAAUUUCUUUAUUAUUUAGAUGAGUCAAUAUGAAGUCGCAUAAGACCCCUCAUCACAAUUUAUCAUUUAUUUAUUAAAAAAAAAUCUAAGAAAGUUAGGUUAGAAGGGGUCAAUGGUUUGCCUUUGCCACAAGCCGGUGGGUUAAAUUUAUAGCCAGCACAAGUGCAGAAGGUAGCCCAAGGAUUUAAUGCGAUGUCUAAUGUUGUAAAUGAUUCUGUGUAAAAUUAAAUUACUGCACGAUGUCUAUAAUAAAAUGAUUCUGUGUAAAAUUAAAGUGCUGGUUCCCUAAUUUCUAUGCCUUUUUGACGAAUUUUCGCAUCUCACCACACUGUCUUUUGGGGAAAUAGAAAAGCUUGGUAAUUGAAGUGAUAUGUAUUGGGGAAAAAACCAAAAAAAAAAAAAAAUUAUGUUAAUUUCCCACUUCCAGAGGCAAUUCCUCGGAUACCAUAAUAAUUCUAUAAAGAGAAAUCAUGUAAAUAGCAAAGGAACAAUAUUAUUACACACGGAAAAUUUUUCAAUUCGGACGAGUUUAAAUGAAUUAUAAAACGAUUAAAAAAGAUAAUCUACAUAUUUUAAACUCGUCCUAACAUUUAUUUAAUAAAAUUCAAAAUUUUCAAAUUGAAAUGUAACUCUAUUACACACUUGUACAUAAAAGAAAUUUUAAAUAACUACUUCUCUGAUGAUAGAAAAAAGUAUAAAAACUUAUCCCAACAAGGCAUCUUUGUAUAUAUUGCCACGUUAUUCAAUCUGAUCAUAGAAGAAGAAGUAAAUAAAUAAAUAAAACAACAGAUAAAUGCCAGUAUGCCACCUAUUGAUAUUGAAAUCAUGAGUUGAAUAUAUAUAUAUAUAUAUAAUUGAUGGUGAUGCUAAGGUUCUGAGUGGACAUAGUUAUUGGUUUUAGUAAUAGGAAUUAGAGAGUAGAAACUUUGACGCUAAUAAUAAUUAUCUGAAGCUCAGCUUUUAUUUAAUGAAGCAAUAUAUAAAUAGUAAUGGAGGUAAUUAAAUAGUAGCUGGCGGAGAAGCUCUUACUCCUUACCAACUCACAAUACAGAUACAUAACAAAAUAAACAAUGUAUAGAAUACAUAGCGGAAGGUAAUGACUCCACAUUAUUAAUAAAUAUUGUUAUUUUAAAAGUCCAACAACACAAGCACAAGAUUAAUACAUGAUAUAUAUGCAACGUAAGUGGGUGCUUACGCAGCUUUUGCUCCUAAUUAAUUGGCCUUGAGAAUAUAGUCAUCCACUUCCUGAAAGUUCUUGAGUGCAAAGUCCUUGAUGACGCUUGGAUCGGGAACAUCAUCGCUUGCCUUUUCAAACUCACAAGCCCACCUCACCAAGCUCCCUUCCCCCUUCGGAUUAACACUCACGAUGCCUUUGAAAGCCUUGUAGUACCUCAACAGGUCCCCAUCAAUUACCUUGUAAGUAACCACCUUGUUUGCUUCAUCUACAUUCUCGAUCUUCUCUGUCGAUACCUUCACAAUUGGAGAACCUACAUAUGCACCACGUACGACAACAGAACAUUACUUUAGAGCAAGAGUAUAAUAUACAUAAUAAGUAUAACACUUAUUAAGAGGUACUCAAAUUAAUGAAGUAAUUUAAUUAAAGAUGAAGAUAUUAAUUAAUUAUGGAUGGAUGUGACUUAAUUAAGCAAGAUACUAGUAUUAAGUUUUACCAUCAGCAUAAGUGAUGAGACGCACAGAGCCAGGGGCCUUGCCGUCGCCCUCCAGCACUUGGAUGCUCUUGUAAUCGUGAGAGAAUGCCUUGGGAAACAGAGUGGUGGAGUCCCUAAUGCUUCCCCAGAAUUUGUCAGCUGAUGACUUCACCUCAAGCUCGACUUCAAGCUUCCCACCUGCAGAAGCCAUUCUCGAUUUGUUGUGUUGAGAUGGAUGAUCAGACUGAUGUUAUUAGCUUGCUAGCAAUUGCACACACGUAUGUGUUUUAUAUUAUAUGGUACUAGUGCUAGUAUAUAUAUAAUAAUUGUUGUUGUUGUUGUUGGCUGAGUGCAUUACAUUACAUUAAGUUUGCUAGCUAAAUAAGCUAUGACAAUCUCAACUGCCUUAUCGGCCUUGUUGAAAUCUUAUGUGAAAUUCAUUAAUUUCAUCAGGAUGACACGCUCAAUUAAGUUGUUGCAGUCUGGCACGUACUAAUGAAUGAAUAAUGCGGCCAUCUACAUUUCUUUCAAUUUAAUGUGAUGUCUAAGGAAGUAGGCAGCGAAAAUAAUAACUUUGGUUGAGAUUUAAAGCCCCAAGGCCAUAUAUAUAAUGGAUGACUCAAGCUAUAUUUUCUUAAUUUUUUUUUUAGGUGUGAAAAGUUGACAACUCCUCAAUUGCAAAAAAAAAGAUAGUAUAAGCAAAUAACUUCGGUAUUUUUAGUAGGCAAUAAAUAGACAGAGUGUUGCAAACUUGCAAUUGAAUGUAGAGAUGCUAUGACUUUCAGUCCAUAAUGUACGCACAACGAGUUAAAGAAGAAUUGACGUGUCAAAUGUGUGAUCAAUUUCACUUCAUCACGGCACUUUAACUCUGUGUUUUCAAAAUUAAACUUGAGAGUAUAUUUAAUGAGUAAUAUUAUAGUUAUAAAUUUUUAUAUAAAUUUAUUUUGUAUAAAUUGAUAUGGCAUGAUAAAAUUAAUUAUAUUAAAUAUCUUUUGGCUUACAUGAUUUAUUUUUAUUAUUUUAUAUUUUCAUUCAACCAAUGAAUUGAUAUCACAUUAAUUUAUACAAAAUAAAUUCAUACAAGAAUUUAUGACUGUAUCAUCACUCAUAUUUAAUUUACUUAUGACUUCUAUCUUAAUGGAGGGAGAGAUUGUAGUUUAAUUUUUUUUAAAAAACAAAAUACAAUAUUUUGCGAUACUGAGCUUCUAAGGGAGUGUGACGAGAACUUGGGUUUACGGUAAUUGGCAAAAGACAAUAAAUCCGGCUUUGGCCGGCUGCAUGCAACUGACUGUCCUGAUACUUUGAAAUAUAGCAUUUCUAGUUUAAUAAUAAUUCCACUAUUUAUUGAAUCAAACAAGGAUUCGGCUUUUACCACUUAAAGAAGCAUCAUCGGUAGUUUAAAUGUAUCUGAGCCCGCACCAAUUAUCAUCAUGUGAUUUGCUUUCAAUAUUUGGAAGAAUGUAUCUUAAGAAAUACGGAGUCAUGUUAUCAGAAACAAAACAGGUUGUUAAAAUUUGUUAGUCGCUAUCUUUCAUUUAAUUUUAACCACGGAUAUCAUAGCUGCCCAAUAUAAUGCUUUUGGGCAAACGAAAAGGAACACCCAUUUUUUUAAAAUUGAAUUCAUGAGCUUCCAUCAAGAAGCCAUACAAAUUAAAAAAGGACGGGCUGAUCGUUUGCGAGCAAGAACUUAAAUUUGAAUUUCAAGAGCUCUCCGUCUCCGACCCCGAAGCUAUCCGUCAAAUUCAAGUUAGGUGAAGGAAUAGCUUGAAAACAAAAUAUUGUUACAUCAGGUCCCACGUCAACAGCAAUGAAAUUUGAUUUUUAUUUGAUUUUUUUUUCUUGCUUUGUCAUCAUCAAUGUCAAUGGUGAUAACAUCAUGGUUCAGGAAUGAUAAAUUUCACCAUACAAAAUUAUAAUAAAAUUUCAAGUAAUUAAAAAAAAAAAGAAAAAAGAAAAAGAAAAGAGAAAUCAAAUGAAAGCACCCUCUCAACGGCUACCUUACAAUUCUUUCCUGACAAAGCUUGAGAGCACGAAAGUUAAAAAAUGGAGGGAGAGAUUGUAGUUACCAUUUCACUAUCAAAGGAAGCAAACCCCACAAAGCUUGCUCAUUCGAAAGGUAAGCGAGUAAGCAAUGCAACACAAUUACCAACUUUGCCUGUUUCUUCAAGUACGUCUCUCUUUGUAAAAUAUGGUUGUUGGAAAGUCUAGUUGAGUAUUCUCUAAUCUCAUUUGCUCUCUAUACAGAUGAUUCUCCUCAUACUAUACCAAUUCACUGUUUUUUCAUAUAUUAAUAAUAAAUCCUUUCCAUUCUCUUCAAAUUUUGCUUUUGCAAUUUGCAUGCAUGAGUUCCAAAUUCACUACUAGUUAAGGAGGCUGUGAUAUUAUUGUUUUUCCUAUUUCUGGGACGUUUAUGCAACAUCUCUAUCCAAUCGUCAAUUUCAUGUAAUGAUACAAUCUGUCGCUGCAAUUUUUUUGUUGAACAGAGAGAAGUUUUUCGAUUCAAAAGAGGAGUACGGGCUGUGAUUAUGCCUUUCGGGUUGGUUUCCGCAUGGAACAAGCGCAGACGAAGCAAGUCCCAGGAUCAGACAGACCCUUGUAGAUUUUUCUCUCGUUGUUUCUUCUUUUUUUUUCCUUUUUUUUUUUUCUUUUUUUCUAAUGGUAGCCAUCAAAUAUUGUUUUUCUCUGUUUUAACAUCUACUUCCCCUGCUUCUCAGGGGUUUACAAACCGGUGGAGCACUGGAAACUCGAAGAUCAACCAAUCCAACCCCAGAAAAGGCAUCGUGGAUCAUCAGUAUUCACACUCAAGGAGAUGGAGGAGGCAACAUGCUCCUUUAGCGAUGACAACUUUCUUGGGAAAGGGGGGUUUGGCCGAGUUUACAAGGGCACUCUGCGGUCAGGAGAGGUAUUGCAGCACAUUAUCUAAUCAUAUUCCCUUCAAUGAAGACACCAUAAGUCCACUUGCAAACUCUUAAAAAAGGGACUUCUGAUAUAAAAAAUACUACAAUUCAAUGACACUGCUUAAACCAUACAAAUAUAAGAGUAAGAAUGGUUGACACAAUUUUUUACCCAUUUGGUAUCCUAAGGUGGUUGCAAUCAAGAAAAUGGAGCUGCCACGAUUUAAAGAAGCUGACGGGGAACACGAGUUCCGCGUAGAAGUUGAUAUCUUGAGCAGACUUGACCAUCCAAAUCUGGUCUCUUUGAUAGGCUAUUGUGCAGAUGGGAAGCACCGGUUUUUAGUAUAUGAAUACAUGCAGAAAGGGAACCUGCAAGAUCACUUAAACGGUUGGUUUUACAGACAAAAUCAGAUUUGCCUUACAUCUUGCUCUGAACAUUUAACAAUCUGCUAUUCCAUGCUAGGAAUUGGGGAACCAAAGAUGGAUUGGCCUUUAAGGCUCAAAGUGGCACUUGGAGCAGCAAAGGGACUUGCUUAUCUUCAUUCAAGUUCUGCUGUUGGGAUUCCAAUUGUCCACAGAGAUUUCAAAUCCACCAAUGUUCUGCUAAGUGCCAAUUUUGAAGCAAAGGUAAAAACGUUGGACGAUUUUAUCAUGAUUAGAUAUAAGUUGUACGUACUGUUUACAUUGUAAAUUACAAAACUAAACUGCAUAUUCUAUUAUUCUUAGAUAUCUGAUUUUGGCCUGGCAAAGUUGAUGCCAGAAGGUCAGGAGACCUAUGUGACUGCUAGAGUUCUGGGCACGUUUGGCUACUUCGAUCCUGAGUACACAUCGGUAAGUCUCGGUGUUACAAAGAUUAUUUUCUGGCUCCAAAACAUGUUCAAAGGUGUUCAAUAUAAUCUUAUUGGUAAUUCCUGUCCAUGCCGUAUAAACUACACAUGCAUUAUCCACAACUAUUAUCAUGAGGGUCAAUUUUAUCGUUACACAGUGCAUGAAGUUACCUACAUACAGACAAAAAUAUAUUUGGUGGCAAUUAGGCAGGUGAGACAUAUGAAGAUAAGUUGCUUGGUAUGAACAAAAAUACGUAGUCAACGAAAAUAUGAAACAAACUAACUCCCAAGUUCAGUGUUGUCAGUACUAUAUUUGUCAAUGCUCUUUAGCAUUUUGAAAUGAACAUAUUUCAACUCCUAACAAGAACAGUAAAUAAAUAUGCAUAAGCAUCUCAUACUCUUCUUUACCAAACAAUAUAGAAGACUUGCUAGUUAGCUGCUCUGACUUCCAGCUGGUCUUGCAUAUUUAGCAAAAGUAGAUGGAUAUUCAAACAUUGCUAUCCCUGGAUAGGAUGGAAUCAACUGACGGCUAGUCAGCUACCAGAUGCUAGAUAACUAAAGUGAACUAAAAGUAUUAUUCUGUUACCACCUAGAACAACUACAGUUACAUUGUUUUCCUAAAGAAAUUUGUUAAAGAAUGGCAUGCUAUUAUCUGAAAUUGCCUUGAUUCUUGUAUUUCAAACUGAAAAUAAAGUAAUAGUUUAUUUUCACUUUAGUUGUCUAGCUACCAGAUGCUAGACAACUAAAGUGAACUAAAAAUAUUAUUCUGUUACCACCUAGAACAACUACAGUUACAUUGUUUUCCUAAAGAAAUUUGUUAAAGAAUGACAUGCUAUUAUCUGAAAUUGCCUUGAUUCUUGUAUUUCAAACUGAAAAUAAAGUAAUAGUUUAAUAUAUUCAGAAAAUAUAGUCUUGAAUUUGAACCACUUACACAUGCUAUUAUCCAAUAACUUUCAAGCAUGACCUUUAAAUAAUUUACAUCAUAUAAUUUUCAAUUAGCAUGCAACAGAGCAACCGACAUAAAGUUAUCCAUAGAAGACUCUGGACUUAGAUGUUAAUUUUUCAGCUACUAAGUUUUAUCAGCACAGCAAUUCUGAAUUUUUGACAUGUUUCUCAUGGUGACAGACAGGGAAACUCACCUUACAAAGUGAUGUUUAUGCAUUUGGUGUGGUUCUUCUAGAGCUUUUGACAGGACGGAGAGCAGUUGACUUAAAUCAAGGGCUAAAUGAUCAAAACCUUGUACUACAGGUAGGAUAAAACUGUAAUCCCAAUGAUUCUGGAUUUCAAAUUUCAUGGACACAGGAUAUUAGAUGUCAAGUCUGUCAAAUAACAAAAUAGUGGUUCUUUUUCAGGUGAGACACAUAUUAAAUGAUCGAAAGAAGUUGCGAAAGGUGAUAGAUCCGGAGCUUAGCCGAAGUUCAUACACCAUGGAAUCUAUAGCCAUGUUUGCCAAUCUCGCAUCACGCUGUGUCCGUACUGAGAGCAGCGAGAGGCCCUCAAUGGCAGAAUGUGUAAAGGAACUUCAGUUGAUUAUCUAUACAAAUUCAAAAGGAUUGAAUAUGCCCUUGCAUGCACUCAGAAUGGUCUGAUAAACCAAAAUGUUAUAUCAGAACGCAACUGUUAUAUAUAAUAAAUAUUCUUUGUUUUUUAUUGGAUUCUUGAAACAUGGAAUCUGAGGUGCAUAGUAUCAAAAUGAAAUCAUUUGAUGAGCAACCAGAAAAAAACUGUGGAUGAGCUUUCAUUAUUUAUAAUCGAAGAAACUUAUGAGCGUAAUUUUGUGGUAUAACGGAAAACAGAGAAAUUAGUAAAGUGAAUUACCAAUAUUAGUUACAGCUGUUUCUACGAGUUAAAUACUGUUCUAACUACAAUAACAGGAAAUAUGUAUUCUGUACUUGAAUAAAUCUUUAAUGUAUUUGUAUUUUUUGAUCAAGUUUAGUGACUAGAGAAAAAGAUGAUUUCCUAUUUUCAAGUUGAGACUCGAGAUAUACAGUAUGUAACCUGUGUAUUUAAGAUUGAAAGAAUAACAAGGAACAAUAAUCUCUCAGUCAAUGCAAUUACCUGUAACAAAGAGAUAUCUUCCAAAAACAUGACAUGUAUUAACAAAAAGACACCAAAGCAUCUGAUUGACCUCCUCCUAGUCAGAAAUCAAUCAAUUGGAAGAUCAUCACAGCCUGGUUGGACUACAUCCUGGACCUGGAGAAUCCAAAUCUGAAAUUGGUAAAAAUACAAUGGAAAGGAAAUUAGGAAGAACAAAAAGGACCAUAAACUGAAAAGAGAAAAAUGUAGUCUACAAUUUGUACAUUGAAAACAGUGAACCAGAGAAACGGAGACUGACUGUUGCAGCAGAGCACGAGUAGCCGAUUAAUGACAGUAAAAACAUGCAACAGGAAGUGCAUAUACCUUGGAAAAAUUAUGCUGCAAUUCCCACAUAUCCAUUAUGAGGGAAGUUCCUCAACAGACCCAGAGACAUCAGAUUCUGAGGGAUGGUCAACAACUGGAAGUUUCUUGCACAUCAAGUGCUUGCGUCUCUGCAGCGUCAACAGGACGAUGAUAUUAUCUGUCUUAACAACACUGUAUCCUGCUUUUGUGUACAUGUUAAAUGGAGCUUCAUCAAUCAUUCUGCAGUGCAAGUAAACCUCUUUUGAGGAACUCAUCUGAGAUAUUAGCUCCUCACUUGCCCUCAGAAGAUGCCAACCAAUACCCCUUCUGGAAGUUGAAAACUAACACACUUAUUAAUUAAUCCAGUCUGCUCAAUAAAUUGUACUGUAAUGCUAAUGAAUUGACUAGUGGUAGCUGCCAGAAAAUAUCCGCGUAAUGUAGAAAUGACAAGACUGCCAGAGUGAUAUGGAAUAAGAUGAACAAGGAUAAAGAGGAAACCAUGACAACUAUUACCAGCCAUUCAAUAUUGUAAAAACAAUUCUGUGGCCAUCAGAUGUAAUAUUUGCAAUAAGAUUAGAAAAUGAUGAAAAUCAAGUGUUUAGUAACCACACGAUUGCUAUAACCCCUAAAGCAAUGCAUAAAUUAAUUAUAGUUUCAUAUUCGACCACAAAACCAAUGCAUAAAUUUCUACUUGUUCUCAGACACAACUUUAAUUAAGAUUGCGUUCGCAUUAUAAAUUCAUUGCAUUGUUGACAUAUAAUCAGAUAAUCUUGGGCACAAGAUUUCUUCAAUAAUUUUUUAUUUUUUAUUUUUUUAAAAAAAGAUAGCGCAAAAAUUAAAAAAGAAAAAUUGAUGAAAGCAAAACCAUAAGUACCUUCUGCGCUCCUUUCUAACAGUCAUGUUACAAAUAUAAGGUGAAUUCUUGGGCGGUGUGGGCGUAGCAGGCGAAGCAUUAGCACCCCUUUUAUCAAAACAAACCUCCACAGUGCCAGCGAAGCCAACAUCUUCCCCGCUCUCACUCUCUCCUUUCCCUCGAUAGAAUCCAAUAAGAGUAGCAGCAUGCGGCAUCACAGCUCUUCUCUCAAUCAAAUACUGCUUCACGAAGAACCUCAGCAACUUGUUAUAUCCCACAGGCAGCAACAUUGAUUCAGAAAAAGACUCGGCCAAUAAACUCACGGUUCUAUCCAUCUCUUCUGGCCUCAUGACACGAACCCACAAAAACCCAGAUUGUAAUUCUUGAAAAUGAACAAAAUGUUCAAGGGUUUUGAGCUUUUCAAGCUCUUCAUUGGUUAAAAACCUGCCUGUGCUAAAUGAAUCCUCAAGAAAAGAAGAGGCUGUGGUGGGGGCUGGAGAAGAGGAAGAGUGGGAGAAUGAGAGAAAGUUGCUUAAUUGACAAUGGUUAGAUUUGUGAAGAGGAAAGUGAGAGUGUUUCGUGGAGAUUAUUGGAGAAGCGGGUGCUGUUCCUGUUUUGUUGUGGUAUUGUUGGGGAUCCAAGGAGAGCGAGAAUGAGAGUGUUGCAGCAGCCAUCGCCGCAAGUACAAGCUAAACCGGAUUUGGUUUGGCUUUUUUGUUGAGUUGAUAUUAUAAUUUUUAAUAACAUAAAUAAAUAAAAUAACAGUCCCAACUCUCAAACAACGUUCCUUUUACACGGCGCUUUGCGCCUUUGCCUUUUGCAUUUUGCAUUUUGCAUUUUGCUUGUACACUAACGACG
rnacentral:lncRNA from 1 species